rnacentral:rRNA from 1 species
AUUGAACGCUGGCGGCAUGCUUUACACAUGCAAGUCGAACGGUAACAGGCCUUCGGGUGCUGACGAGUGGCGAACGGGGGAGUAUUGCAUCGGAACGUGCCCAGAGGAGGGGGAUAACGCAGCGAAAGCUGUGCUAAUACCGCAUGUGAUCUGAGGAUGAAAGAGGGGGACCAGGCAGCAAUGUUUGGCCUCGCGCCUUUGGAGCGGCCGAUGUCAGAUUAGGUAGUUGGUGGGGUAAAGGCCUACCAAGCCGACGAUCUGUAGCUGGUCUGAGAGGACGACCAGCCACACUGGGACUGAGACACGGCCCAGACUCCUACGGGAGGCAGCAGUGGGGAAUUUUGGACAAUGGGCGCAAGCCUGAUCCAGCAAUGCCGCGUGCGGGAAGAAGGCCUUCGGGUUGUAAACCGCUUUUGUACGGAACGAAAAGGCUCUGGCUAAUACCUGGGUCUGAUGACGGUACCGUAAGAAUAAGCACCGGCUAACUACGUG